rnacentral:tRNA from 1 species
GUCAGGAUGGCCGAGCGGUUUAAGGCGCCAGACUCAAGGAUAAAUACCUUCCACACAAAAAGGGACUUCUGGUCUCCAAAUGGAGGCGUGGGUUCAAAUCCCACUCCUGACA